UACGUAGGGUGCAAGCGUUGUCCGGAAUUAUUGGGCGUAAAGAGCUCGUAGGCGGUUUGUUGCGUCGGCUGUGAAAUCCCGAGGCUCAACCUCGGGUCUGCAGUCGAUACGAGCAAACUAGAGUGUUGCAGGGGAGACUGGAAUUCCUGGUGUAGCGGUGAAAUGCGCAGAUAUCAGGAGGAACACCGGUGGCGAAGGCGGGGUCUCUGGGCAACAACUGACGCUGGAGGAGCGAAAGCCGUGGGGGAGCGAACAGG
rnacentral:rRNA from 1 species